UCAGAUUGAACGCUGGCGGCAGGCCUAACACAUGCAAGUCGAGCGGCAGCGGGAAGUAGUUUACUACUUUGCCGGCGAGCGGCGGACGGGUGAGUAAUGUCUGGGAAACUGCCUGAUGGAGGGGGAUAACUACUGGAAACGGUAGCUAAUACCGCAUAACGUCUUCGGACCAAAGUGGGGGACCUUCGGGCCUCACGCCAUCGGAUGUGCCCAGAUGGGAUUAGCUAGUAGGUGGGGUAAUGGCUCACCUAGGCGACGAUCCCUAGCUGGUCUGAGAGGAUGACCAGCCACACUGGAACUGAGACACGGUCCAGACUCCUACGGGAGGCAGCAGUGGGGAAUAUUGCACAAUGGGCGCAAGCCUGAUGCAGCCAUGCCGCGUGUGUGAAGAAGGCCUUCGGGUUGUAAAGCACUUUCAGCGAGGAGGAAGGCAUAAAGGUUAAUAACCUUU
rnacentral:rRNA from 1 species